CCAGCACCCGCGGUAAUUCCAGCUCCAAUAGCGUAUAUUAAAGUUGUUGCAGUUAAAAAGCUCGUAGUUGGAUUUGUGGUGGUUUCUGAGGUCCACUUUUGGUACCUUCGGAGAUUGCCAUCCUUGGGUGGAAUCUGUGUGGCAUUAGGUUGUUGUGCAGGGGAUGCCCAUCGUUUACUGUGAAAAAAUCAGCGCGUUCAAAGCAGGCUUAUGCCGUUGAAUGUAUUAGCAUGGAAUAAUAAGAUAGGACCUUGGUACUAUUUUGUUGGUUUGCGCACCGAGGUAAUGAUUAAUAGGGACAGUUGGGGGUAUUCGUAUUCCAUUGUCAGAGGUGAAAUUAUUGGAUUUCUGGAAGACGAACUACUGCGAAAGCAUUUACCAAGGAUGUUUUCAUUAAUCAAGAACGAAAGU
rnacentral:rRNA from 1 species